rnacentral:rRNA from 1 species
AGUGAACGCUGGCGGUAGGCCUAACACAUGCAAGUCGAACGGCAGCACAGUAAGAGCUUGCUCUUACGGGUGGCGAGUGGCGGACGGGUGAGGAAUACAUCGGAAUCUACUUUUUCGUGGGGGAUAACGUAGGGAAACUUACGCUAAUACCGCAUACGACCUACGGGUGAAAGCAGGGGAUCUUCGGCCCUUGCGCGAUUGAAUGAGCCGAUGUCGGAUUAGCUAGUUGGCGGGGUAAAGGCCCACCGAGGCGACGAUCCGUAGCUGGUCUGAGAGGAUGAUCAGCCACACUGGAACUGAGACACGGUCCAGACUCCUACGGGAGGCAGCAGUGGGGAAUAUUGGACAAUGGGCGCAAGCCUGAUCCAGCCAUACCGCGUGGGUGAAGAAGGCCUUCGGGUUGUAAAGCCCUUUUGUUGGGAAAGAAAAGCAGCAGGUUAAUACCCCGCUGUUCUGACGGUACCCAAAGAAUAAGCACCGGCUAACUUCGUG